rnacentral:misc_RNA from 1 species
GAAUGGAAUGUGAUUGGUGGUCUCUCGGGGCAAUCAUGUAUGAAAUGCUUGUGGGAUAUCCACCCUUUUACUCUGAUGAGCCUAUGUCAACAUGUAGGAAGAUAGUUAACUGGAGAACCCAUUUAAAAUUUCCGGAAGAAGCAAAGCUAACUCCGGAAGCUAAAGACCUUAUCAGUAAGCUCUUAUGUAACGUUGACCAGAGGCUUGGAACAAAAGGCGCUGAUGAAUUAAAGGCUCACCCAUGGUUUAAAGGUUUAGAAUGGGAUAAAUUAUAUCAAAUGAAAGCUGCAUUUAUUCCUGAGGUCAAUGAUGAGUU